CGCUUUGGUGGUUCAACUGAUUGUGAAGCAGCUUGCUCAGAUAUGACGAUGGACAUUGCAAAGAGUGGCGAACGGGUGAGUAACACGUGGGAAACCUACCUCUUAGCAGGGGAUAACAUUUGGAAACAGAUGCUAAUACCGUAUAACAAUGACAACCGCAUGGUUGUUAUUUGAAAGAUGGUUCUGCUAUCACUAAGAGAUGGUCCCGCGGUGCAUUAGCUAGUUGGUAAGGUAAUGGCUUACCAAGGCGAUGAUGCAUAGCCGAGUUGAGAGACUGAUCGGCCACAAUGGGACUGAGACACGGCCCAUACUCCUACGGGAGGCAGCAGUAGGGAAUCUUCCACAAUGGGCGAAAGCCUGAUGGAGCAACGCCGCGUGUGUGAUGAAGGGUUUCGGCUCGUAAAACACUGUUGUAAGAGAAGAAUGACAUUGAGAGUAACUGUUCAAUGUGUGACGGUAUCUUACCAGAAAGGAACGGCUAAAUACGUGCCAGCAGCCGCGGUAAUACGUAUGUUCCAAGCGUUAUCCGGAUUUAUUGGGCGUAAAGCGAGCGCAGACGGUUAUUUAAGUCUGAAGUGAAAGCCCUCAGCUCAACUGAGGAUUGCUUUGGAAACUGGGAUGACUUG
rnacentral:rRNA from 1 species